rnacentral:rRNA from 1 species
AGGACGAACGCUGGCGGCGUGCUUAACACAUGCAAGUCGAGCGGUAAGGCCUUUCGGGGUACACGAGCGGCGAACGGGUGAGUAACACGUGGGUGAUCUGCCCUGCACUCUGGGAUAAGCCUGGGAAACUGGGUCUAAUACCGGAUAUGACCUGCUCUCGCAUGGGGGGUGGGUGGAAAGAUUUAUCGGUGCAGGAUGGGCCCGCGGCCUAUCAGCUUGUUGGUGGGGUAAUGGCCUACCAAGGCGACGACGGGUAGCCGACCUGAGAGGGUGACCGGCCACACGUGGGACUGAGACACGGCCCAGACUCCUACGGGAGGCAGCAGGUGGGGAAUAUUGCACAAGUGGGACGAAAGCCUGAUGCAGCAACGCCGCGUGGGAUGAAGGCUUCGGGUUGUAAACCCGUUUAGGAGGACGAAGUUGACGGUACCUACCGAAGAAAACGCCCCGGACAACGUACGUGACCAGCAGCCGC